AACAUUUGGUAGAUCAAAAAUUCGUCUGAAAUCUAAGAACGGAUGCAACCCUUGUUUUUCUCUCUUCUGUCCUCUGAAAUAGCGAUCGCCUGCUUCUCUCUUCUAACUUGCCUGAUUAUCUUUUCCGUACAUCAGCGAUCUCUUCGUGAUCCGUUUGUCUCUUCCAAUGUUGCGAUCUCCAGCGACUUCGCAAAAUUGUCCUUCUUUGUUCACCAAAUAUGAAUGCAUGCAUAUUCUUCGAUAAUCUAUGUCAAGAUUGUUCGACCAACUGUCUAUCUACAUCUUGAUGUACAGUGUUUUCUGAUUCGAUCGGAUUUGUUGUAUUGAUCAUUCGAAUUUGACUUCGCUUAUAUAGAUAAGAUAAGUGACUUCUUCCUUAUAACUACCAUAGAUCUUUCCUAUGUUAAAUAUAUUUUGUAAUUGUAUUUAUAAUCUGUAUUUUGAUCUACCUCAACCUUCUAAUUUUUUUAUUAUUUACACAAAAUAGUUAAAAUUCUUAUUGUUAUUUUUAUUUUAUUUAUUUAUGAAGGUUGAGAUCUAGUUGGAAAAAUGUAAUUGAGAAGAUAUGAGUUGCUCCAAAUAGAAGAGGAUCAUUUAAUUUACAGGAAAACAACUACUAUUUAUAGCCAAAUUACCUCAUUAACCCAACCAUCUGGGAAAACGAAGUGUGGAACUUGGGUUUGGUCAUUAUUACGCGUGAGUCGUCAUUUUUUCAUUAAUAGCUUCUGUGCAUUUAAUGCAUGCCGCAUGGUCUUUUCAGUUUUUCCUUUUGCAUUUAAUGCAUUCUGAUCAGAUUGUAUUUAUUGUAAAUUUAAAUGUAUUGUUAUAUUGUUAUAUUAUAUUUUGUACUAAAAAAUGUUAUUUAAAAUUAUUUUAUGCAUACAGUAACCAAAGAUCAUUGGUAAAUGCAUGCCACAUAGUCUUUUCAUUG